UAUCCAUCAACAUGGAGGAGCUGAAGUUUCUCAGCGUCCCGAGCUAUUAGAUUAUUUAAAAAAAGAAGAAUUUCAAGGACGUUAAUAUGAAAAAUAACGUCAGGCGCACGGUUGCACAGGCUGUAGGGUUACCAGAUUUUCCGGGACACCCGCAUCUGCAGAUCGUCGAUCCGCUGCUGAACUUCGACGCGUAAAUGAAACCGGUUUGUAUGACACUGACCUGGUGGACGGCGUCUGUUCUGAAUCGUCCAUUGUGAAAUACUGGAGCAGAGGAGCCGGGUCACCUUGUUUGGACGCGCCGCUGUCGCCGCGGUUACCAGAGCCCAGGUGUUCCGGAACGUCUCCAGUCCAGUGUCUCGGAGUUCCGGAGUUCUUUCAGAGACAUUGGAAUUAAAAAGCAGGGGCUGGACCCCCGACCCUUGGUUUGCACGGGUUCGAAGUGAACCGAGCCACAGACCCAACAAACACGACAGGACUUCAGAUCAACGGCUGCAAUGAAAGCAUCACCUCGUUUCUGAAGAGCCUGCUUGUUUUUUUUUUUUAAUUGGUUAUUUCUCCAUUCAGAAAGAAUAAAAUUAAAAAAA